ensembl:lncRNA
CUCUAUGGGGGUGUAUGGGGGUUAUGGGGUCAUAUGGGGGGUCUAUGGGGGUCUAUGGGGGUCUAUGGGGUUCUAUUGGAGUCUAUGGGGGUCUAUGGGGGUCUCUAUAGGGGUCUAUGGGGUUCUAUGGGGGUCUAUGGGGUCUGUAUGGGGUUCUUUAGGGUCUCUAUGGGGUCUCUAUGGGAGACUAUGGGGUUCCAUGGGGUCUCUAUGGGGUCUAUGGGGGUCUUUGGGGUCUCUAUUGGGGUCUAUGGGGAUCUAUGGGGUCUCUAUGGGUCUCUAUGGAUCCCUAUGGGGUCACUAUGCGUCUCUAUGGGGUCCCUAUGUGUCUCUAUGGGCCUCUAUGGGGUCUCUAUGGGGUCUCUAUGUGUCUCUAUGGGUCUCUAUGGGUCUCUAUGGAUCCCUAUGGUGUCUCUAUGGGUCUCUAUGUGUCUCUUUGGGGUCUCUAUGGGUCUCUAUGGGUCUCUGUGGAUUCCUAUGGGGUCUCUAUGUGUCUCUAUGGGGUCUCUAUGGAUCCCUAUGGGGUCUCUAUGGGUCUCUACGGGUUUCUAUGGGGUCUUUAUGGGUCUAUGUGUGUCUCUAUGGAUUCCUAUGGGGUCUCUAUGGGGUCUCUAUGUGUCUCUAUGGGUCUUUAUGUGUCUCUAUGGGGUCUCUAUGGAUCCCUAUGGGCUCUCUGUGUGUCUCUAUGGGUUCUAUGGGCUCUCUAUGGGGUCUCUAUGGGGUCUCUAUGGAGCCCUUUGAGCCCCCCCAACCCCCCCCCAUUGCAGUUCCGGGCUCGUGGUCGCCGUGGGGUCCGUGGGGCGGCUGCUCGGUGACGUGUGGGGCCGGGAGGGAAAGCAGACGGAGGGGGUUCUGUGGGGCUCUGUGGGGCUCUAUGGGUCCCUAUGGGGUCUCUAUGGGUCUCUAUGGGGUCUCUAUGGGUCUCUAUGGGGCCUAUGGGGUCUCUAUUGGGUCUCUAUGGGGUCUCUAUGUGUCUCUAUGGGGUCUCAAUGGGGUCUCUAUGGGUUUCUAUGAAUCC